GAACGCUGGCGGCGUGCUUAACACAUGCAAGUCGAACGAACCUUCGGGUUAGUGGCGGACGGGUGAGUAACGCGUGAGAAUCUGCCCUCAGGAGGGGGAUAACGGUUGGAAACGACCGCUAAUACCCCAUAUGCCGAGAGGUGAAAAGAAAUUCGCCUGAGGAUGAGCUCGCGUCUGAUUAGCUAUUUGUUGUGGUAAUGGCGCGCCAAGACUUCGAUCAGUAGCUGGUCUGAGAGGAUGAUCAGCCACUCUUGCCCUGAGACACGGACCCAGACUCCUACGGGAUGCAGCAGUGGGG
rnacentral:rRNA from 1 species